rnacentral:rRNA from 1 species
AUUGAACGCUGGCGGCAGGCCUAACACAUGCAAGUCGAGCGAGCGGCGGACGGGUGAGUAAUGUAUGGGGACUGCCCGAUAGAGGGGGAUAACUACUGGAAACGGUAGCUAAUACCGCAUACUAUCGGAUAACCCAUAUGGGAUUAGCUAGUAGGUGAGGUAAUGGCUCACCUAGGCGACGCUCCCUAGCUGGUCUGAGAGGAUGAUCAGCCAACCUGGGAUGGAGCACCGGCCCGGACUCUUAGGGGAGGAGGAGGGGGGAAUAUUGACAAUGGGGCGAAAGCCUGAUGCAGCCAUGCGGGUUGUAUGAAGAAGGCCCUAGGGUUGAAAAGUACUUUCAGGCGGGAGGCGUUACCGACAGAAGAAGCACCGGUUAACUCCGUGCCAGCAGCCGGGGUAAUC